rnacentral:lncRNA from 1 species
UCCCCACUCGUGUGCCUCCUUCCUAGACUGCUGACUCAGUUUUUCCUUCAUGAGCAAUUUGAGGUUGUUCUGACCUGUGUUCUUUGACAGUCAUUUUGUCAGAAAUGGGAUUCAAUAAUGGGCCAAACUGCUGACUGGACUGAACCAGACAUGACAGCCUAGUCCCAGCAGGGAAGUUUCAGAGGGGGAUCUCCAAUUUGUGUCAACUAAUCUCUGUUGGACGCCCACACCAACUUCAGGAUGACUGGGAAGAUUCUAGUAAAAGCCAAAGCUGCCUAAUAGCAAUGUCUCCUUGCCACCAUUCCAAAGUUGAAGGUCUUGACCCUGCAGUGGCCAAACUUAUUGAAACCAACCUUUCAAAGUAGCAAACAUGGACUUUGUUUGAUGCUGCCCCUGGGUAUGUAGCUGCCCUCAUAGAAUAAAAACAAGGUAAGAAAGACA